CAUGAUAGGAUAGAUAUUUGUGAGAUAGAUCGGUGAGCAAGGUCGACGACUCUCGUUCGUUACCUGGUACGUUGUCCACGGUACCCGUAGGACGAGGGGUUCGAGCCGCUUGAGGAGUUCCUCCUCAUGUUUGACGUCUCUUCGCAGUUCCUACUAUAGUUUGUAGCUCUCUCUCUCGACCUCUCGUACGUACGACGGGAGUCGUUCCAGCCCCUGCACGGUGCCCUGGUCGAGCUGCUUGUUCAGUUCGAGACCCGGUUGCUCCAUUCUCUGGAAAGUAAGUAUUAUCUCCUAUAGUAGCUGUUCAAGGACCACGUACAGCUCCCGGGACUCGGACUUUUGUUCGGCGUGUACGAGUUUGUUGACUACUUCUUCUACCCGCCGAACAAGUGGUUCAAGUACUUUGCGGUACGGUAGCCGUUGCUCUAGUUUUCAUAGUUCCAGUCACAAGUCCUCCGCCGACUGGCCGCACUGGCCAUGUCCCAGGUGCUCCACCAACGAGUAGGUCUACAACGUUGGUGCCGGCUGGGAGCGGACAACCGAGACAUGUUCCUGGUUUUUCUCGAGCAACCGUAACUACUAAGUAACUUACUCGAUUGGUUAUACGACUCACUGCCCCUACCACUACACAGGUUCGUUGAUUUCUCUGAGAGAUAAAAACCUAAGCCUCCGGAACCGUUCUGUUGAGAACGGUUUCGUCAUAUACUAUUCGAGUUUUGUGUCAAGCUAACGUCACGAAAACAAGGCCAUCCUGCGUCGGGAUCGCACUUCUUUGAAGAGUUACUGUAAGAGAUACCUUAACCGUUCUUUUACAUGGGACCAAACCUACUUUCCGUCGACUAACUACUUUAGGCUCAUAAUGAACUCUUUUUCUCCAUUUGUGGGAUAAUAAAUUAAAGCAUAUCAAGUUCAUCAUUUACCCCUCAACUUACUUUCCGUCGACUAACUACUUGAUACGCUAUUUCUCCAUACGUAGAUGAUACAUCAUAGUUCAUCAUUUACCCCGUUUCUAUCGCAGUGUGUACGCUUCUUUACUCACUAUUUAAUACAAACUCUGUAGAGCAUAUCUUCUCAAGCCUACCUGGUACCAGUAAGAACAUAUAAAAGUUUUUGACAUAAAAAACAUAUUAUAGUUCAAAAGGAUGGAAGAAACGAUAUAAAAGUUUUUGACAACUGACAAGCGGGUGCUAAGUAUACAAAUACUUGAAGAAUACUAUCUACAGUUAAUUUUUUAUAUAGAUUAUCUACUUUCAUAGACCUAACGCUUUAAAACAAUUGGUCUUUAUCUCAAGAGCAUCUACCACGUACGUACAGAGAGAGAACAUGGGGAGGUAAAUAAAUAAGAUAUUACGGUUGAAAUCUAAGGAAUUGCUCCACCACCGACUGUAAGUACGUAGGAGAAAAAUUUCCAUAAAAUGUAUGAAUCUACAGUAGAUUUUAUCAAAGGGAUUAAAUACUAUAGAGAACACAAUACCUACCACUACUGUCCAUGAAUUAGCAGUAACUGCUGUAUACCCUAUUUUUUUGAACCCUUGAUCAGUUCUCGCGAAACCACACGUUAUUAACACCUUCGUCUUAGUAGUGUUGAUGAGCAUAUGAGCUUCAACGGUGUUCUUGACCAUUUCAUAUGUCCGAUGUUGGUGAAAGAGCACUAAAUAGCCUCCUAAAUAAAGUAUCUUCUAAUAAACCCCCAUUUUAUUUAGUAGGAUUAGUAGAUGGCAGUCUCUAUAUGUUAUUUUAAAAUGUAUUUACACCACCACAUGGUAACCGAUAUUAGUGUUAUCGAUCAAACGAACAGUCAUUUGGCCACCUCGAAACCAGAUUCCAUAUGUGUAGUUACCCAAAACCCGUACUUCUCUUACUUCUGCACCUCUUGUGUUCUUUUUAUGAAAAUAAAUCGAUAAUACUAGAGGGAACAGUGGAUUUCUGAACGAAUAACAUAGACUCGUAUAUAGGACUUCUAGUAGACUAACCCUUUCUAUCAAACUAUACCUUUACCCAGCGGCUUCCAAAAUAGGUGCUCCUUGGUCCCAAUUCUGAUAAACUCUAACCACUUUCCAUGAAGUUCCUCAACCACUUGUUUUCGUACUAUUACGGCCAUCUUUGUGGAAUAGUACCUUAGUAUUGACCAACAGCACAGGUACUGUAUUACGAACUAUACUAUACGAAUAACAGUUUCCUUCUUUUGAAACAAUGACAUAAGCUAUCACUGUUCGUUACAUGUUGAAGUGUAACGUUGAGAGCAUCCGAUCAACAAGUAGCAUCCCAGUCUGGAGACCGAUCGUGUAGAUGUAAUGUUCGUUCCAGUGAAUUACGUUACACGUCUAUACUCUACAACGGUAGUGAAAGUACGAAACUUCAAAACGCACAGGAUCGAAACCUACCGGGGUGACUAAGUGUGUUAGGAUUAAUAGAACUCGUACAACCCUUCAAUCAAGUGAACUCCAUGGAGUUUAAUCGCUCGUACCCAUACGUACUCGAGGGUUUCCUUUAUCCUAUAGAUUUCAAGAACUAUCAUAACCUGAACCGACCCUUUUCAUCUUCAUUUGAAGGUCUCUCAUAAGUAGAUGAUUCAGUUGAGUUCACGAACUUGUAGUCGCUUUGUUUCUAACUUCACGACAUAACCUAGCCUCUAAACUGUACAGAUCUUCUCGAUACGGAUCCUCGUCAACCAUAAGUGAGUUUGAAAUACUGUCUUAACCCAUUCGACUGUCUCAACUCCUUCGAGGCGUAAAGAUUUUCACACUGAUAUCCACCAUUAUAACGUUACUUAUCAACCCGCCUCAGAUAUCGGUUUGACUAGUUCUAGGUUCAGUAUCUGUAACUAAAAUAAGAGCACAUGUCUAAGAGGCCAGUACAGCUGUUGGGGACCCUUGCUUUGUAGGAGGGAGGUGUUGAGGCACACGACGCGUACCGGAUAGUUCUUGGGCCCGACCACCGUUGCUAAUUAGGGAGCGAAGAAGGGUUGGAGAGGGUAAAUGUUGAUUUACAUAUGUCAGGUCUAGACCUCCAGAAACCUUCAAAGGCUCUCGAACAAAGGGAACUCAACCAGUGUACCAGUCGAGAGGUGGUACUGUGGUAGCCGCCACAUCCACGUAAGGGGUUCGACUCCCAGAAGUUCUGUGUUAGUUGCUGAACGAGCAAAGUUCUCCCUCUAUACGGCCAGGAAUUUAGAGAACUCAAGGUUCAGCAUCGUGUACGGUUACUACUACUGUAAUCGAAACUUAAACUGAAACCAUCGGAUCCCUUGGAGGGAAAGGAAGUCCUUCAGUCUCAGAUAAAUACCCGAGGUGAACGCCUAAUGUUCUUACGAUUCCUUUAUCGCUUCGCACGUUAACUACACGAAGGGUUGACGGAAUCCGUACUAUAGUGUGUUGUCCUAUACUCCCUAACCUCAGCCUCUAAGGGUUUGACUACACAAAGGGUUAGUGUAAAAGGUCGAUCGGCAUAUAGAGGUGGAUGGCCUUAGUUCCAACCUUCGUAAUGGUUUAGUCGCUGCCUCUUUCUUUUCUAUCGAUUAUAGAAACGUAUCGGCCAGGGUUCGGGCCUUCUUCCUCCUCCCCGGUUCGUAUUUGAACACUUUACAGUUUGGUAAUUACGAGAAUCUCAAAUGACAGAAUAAAUAAACAUCCAGAACGGAAAACAAAAAGAAGUAAAAGAACAAGUUCAUAUAUGGUAGCACCAACCGGUAUAUAUCGAAGGCGGUAAAAGAACAAGUACAUACAUUGAAAUAUGAAGUUUUAUACCACCAAGUUCAAACCGAUUCAACCUUGAGCCCUUCGAUUAUUUCGACUUCUGCGGUACCCUGGUGAUACUUCUCACUAUAGAAACCUUCCAAAGGCCGUGGUGGUACUACACUACCCUCGACUUCCACAUAAAGGAUUCAGUUUGGAAAUGUUCUCAUGUUGCGGACUGGUUAAAUACCUCCAUCUCCUUCUCGAAUUAUACGGCUCGGAACUUAGAGACCUUUUUGCUUACGAACAUAGUAGCAGACCUUUUUAAUUGAAGUGCUAGAAAAGAGUUAGACUGGUGUUUUCCGAAAAAUACUCCCAAAAACGUUCGAUGUAUAAACGAGACCAUUAACGAAGGAAAGAAGAGCCUUCUGGUUUCGUACGUCGCCCAAAAACCUAUCCUGUGAUGAAGAGACCUUCACCUCACCUAAUAUAUAUGUCACGAAGGAAGAGGUCGGGUGACCAACGGAGAAGGAGAGGCUCAUAGUAAAGGUAAAUUAGCAUAUAAAAGACUCCAACCCGAAGAUUCAAGGACCAUUAUUAAAGGAGCAUUUAUUGUCGGACAGGUGUUUCGAUAUACCUCUGUGACAACGCGACGACCCGAUCGAGAAGGUACGGGUCUGCGUAUACUUUAAGAGUUUUCGAUCGGUAACC
rnacentral:rRNA from 1 species